CCGCGAGUGAGCCAACGCCAACUCGUCAGUCGACGUCCCGGCCCUCUCCGACGGCCCCGCCGAUGCCGGAGCCGGCAGCAGUUGUGCAGAAUUCACCUUUCCCUUGGUUACUGUUCUGGUGUUUACCUGUGAUGUCAAAGCCCUAGAGAAACAUGUGGCCAAGCCCUAUAUCUCCAGUCAUGCUUCAAUCAACAGAUGCAAGUGAUGGACCAUCUAUCAAAUGGUGGCAGCCAUCUCAAGUCAGAGGACGAGAGGACUCUAGCCGCCACGCAUAUAAAGGAUUUAUAGUGAAAAACCUUGUUUUUACGGGUUAUACUUGUUUAUAUCUUCAUCUUCUACUGAGACCACUGUGGUAAAGUAUGGUCAAGCAACACUCAUGACGAACAUGACAUGCAGAGGCUUUCAUCCAGCAUGGCAUUGACAAAAGGUUGUAAAUUACAAACGUUUAAAUUAUUCUAUAAUUAUUACUGAGAAAAAUGGCGCUACGUUUUAUGAGGCUUUAUUCGGGAGGAUGCUGCUUGCCAUAUUUUUCUAAUUCUAAUUUGAAUAUUUUUGCAAAUGGACGGGGAAAUAAGCGUGAUUGGGAAAACCCAUACACAUGGUUUUAAAUAUUAUUGUUAUCAAGAUCUAAAUUGUCAAAUCAGGAUUAAGUGCACUAUGCAUUAUUCUGGGAUCUUCGCCGAUUAGUUUAACCCGAGCCACCAUUUAUGGUGAACGCUGACAUAAGUGCUCAU